AGUCGAAGAACACUGAAAGCAGAUUACUUCGGUAUGAAGCUUUCUUUGACUGAGUGGCGGACGGGUGAGUAACGCGUGGGUAACCUGCCUCAUACAGGGGGAUAACAGUUAGAAAUGACUGCUAAUACCGCAUAAGCGCACGGUUUCGCAUGGAACAGUGUGAAAAACUCCGGUGGUAUGGGAUGGACCCGCGUCUGAUUAGCUGGUUGGCGGGGUAACGGCCCACCAAGGCGACGAUCAGUAGCCGGCCUGAGAGGGUGAACGGCCACAUUGGGACUGAGACACGGCCCAAACUCCUACGGGAGGCAGCAGUGGGGAAUAUUGCACAAUGGGGGAAACCCUGAUGCAGCGACGCCGCGUGAAGGAAGAAGUAUUUCGGUAUGUAAAGCUCUAUCAGCAGGGAAGAGAAUGACGGUACCUGACUAAGAAGCCCCGGCUAACUACGUGCCAGCAGCCGCGGUAAUACGUAGGGGGCAAGCGUUAUCCGGAUUUACUGGGUGUAAAGGGAGCGUAGACGGCUGGCCAAGUCUGAAGUGAAAGCCCGGGGCUUAACCCCGGAACGGCUUUGGAAACUGGCCGGCUGGAGUGCUGGAGAGGCAGGCGGAAUUCCUGGUGUAGCGGUGAAAUGCGUAGAUAUCAGGAGGAACACCGGUGGCGAAGGCGGCCUGCUGGACAGUAACUGACGUUGAGGCUCGAAAGCGUGGGGAGCAAACAGGAUUAGAUACCCUGGUAGUCCACGCGGUAAACGAUGAAUGCUAGGUGUCGGGGGGCAA
rnacentral:rRNA from 1 species